GAUGAACGCUGGCGGCGUGCCUAAUACAUGCAAGUCGAGCGAACGGACGAGAAGCUUGCUUCUCUGAUGUUAGCGGCGGACGGGUGAGUAACACGUGGAUAACCUACCUAUAAGACUGGGAUAACUUCGGGAAACCGUAGCUAAUACCGGCUAAUAUUUUGAACUGCAUGGUUCAACAGUGAAAGACGGUCUUGCUGUCACUUAUAGAUGGAUCCGCGCUGCAUUAGCUAGUUGGUAAGGUAACGGCUUACCAAGGCAACGAUGCAUAGCCGACCUGAGAGGGUGAUCGGCCACACUAGAACUGAGACACGGUCCAGACUCCUACGGGAGGCAGCAGUAGGGAAUCGUCCGCAAUGGGCGAAAGCCUGACGGAGCAACGCCGCGUGAGUGAGGACGGUCUUCGGAUCGUAAAACUCUGUUAUUAGGUAAGAACAUAUGUGUAAGUAACAGUGCACAUCUGGACGGUACCUAAGCAGAAAGCCACGGCUAGCUACGUG
rnacentral:rRNA from 1 species